rnacentral:rRNA from 1 species
GGUUAAGCGACUAAGCGUACACGGUGGAUGCCCUGGCAGUCAGAGGCGAUGAAGGACGUGCUAAUCUGCGAAAAGCGUCGGUAAGGUGAUAUGAACCGUUAUAGCCGGCGAUGUCCGAAUGGGGAAACCCAGUGCAAUUCGUUGCACUAUCGUUAACUGAAUACAUAGGUUAACGAGGCGAACCGGGGGAACUGAAACAUCUAAGUACCCCGAGGAAAAGAAAUCAACCGAGAUUCCCCCAGUAGCGGCGAGCGAACGGGGAGCAGCCCGGAGUCUGAAUCAGCUUGUGUGUUAGUGGAAGCGUCUGGAAAGUCGCAGGGUACAGGGUGAUACUCCCGUACACUAAAACACACAGGUUGUGAACUCGAAGAGUAGGGCGGGACACGUGGUAUCCUGUCUGAAUAUGGGGGGACCAUCCUCCAAGGCUAAAUACUCCUGACUGACCGAUAGUGAACCAGUACCGUGAGGGAAAGGCGAAAAGAACCCCGGCGAGGGGAGUGAAAAAGAACCUGAAACCGUGUACGUACAAGCAGUAGGAGCCCACUAGUUGGGUGACUGCGUACCUUUUGUAUAAUGGGUCAGCGACUUAUAUUCUGUAGCAAGGUUAACCGUAUAGGGGAGCCGCAGGGAAACCGAGUCUUAACUGGGCGUUAAGUUGCAGGGUAUAGACCCGAAACCCGGUGAUCUAGCCAUGGGCAGGUUGAAGGUUGGGUAACACUAACUGGAGGACCGAACCGACUAAUGUUGAAAAAUUAGCGGAUGACUUGUGGCUGGGGGUGAAAGGCCAAUCAAACCGGGAGAUAGCUGGUUCUCCCCGAAAGCUAUUUAGGUAGCGCCUCGUGAACUCAUCUUCGGGGGUAGAGCACUGUUUCGGCUAGGGGGUCAUCCCGACUUACCAACCCGAUGCAAACUACGAAUACCGAAGAAUGUUAUCACGGGAGACACACGGCGGGUGCUAACGUCCGUCGUGAAGAGGGAAACAACCCAGACCGCCAGCUAAGGUCCCAAAGUCAUGGUUAAGUGGGAAACGAUGUGGGAAGGCCCAGACAGCCAGGAUGUUGGCUUAGAAGCAGCCAUCAUUUAAAGAAAGCGUAAUAGCUCACUGGUCGAGUCGGCCUGCGCGGAAGAUGUAACGGGGCUAAACCAUGCACCGAAGCUGCGGCAGCGACACUAUGUGUUGUUGGGUAGGGGAGCGUUCUGUAAGCCGUUGAAGGUGGCCUGUGAGGGUUGCUGGAGGUAUCAGAAGUGCGAAUGCUGACAUAAGUAACGAUAAUGCGGGUGAAAAACCCGCACGCCGGAAGACCAAGGGUUCCUGUCCAACGUUAAUCGGGGCAGGGUGAGUCGACCCCUAAGGCGAGGCCGAAAGGCGUAGUCGAUGGGAAACAGGUUAAUAUUCCUGUACUCGGUGUUACUGCGAAGGGGGGACGGAGAAGGCUAUGUUGGCCGGGCGACGGUUGUCCCGGUUUAAGCAUGUAGGCGGAUGUUCCAGGUAAAUCCGGAACGUCACUAACGCUGAGGUGUGAUGACGAGGCACUACGGUGCUGAAGUGACAAAUGCCCUGCUUCCAGGAAAAGCCUCUAAGCAUCAGGUAACAUCAAAUCGUACCCCAAACCGACACAGGUGGUCAGGUAGAGAAUACCAAGGCGCUUGAGAGAACUCGGGUGAAGGAACUAGGCAAAAUGGUGCCGUAACUUCGGGAGAAGGCACGCUGAUGGUAGGUGAAGUGACUUGCUCAUGGAGCUGAAAUCAGUCGAAGAUACCAGCUGGCUGCAACUGUUUAUUAAAAACACAGCACUGUGCAAACACGAAAGUGGACGUAUACGGUGUGACGCCUGCCCGGUGCCGGAAGGUUAAUUGAUGGGGUUAUCCGUAAGGAGAAGCUCUUGAUCGAAGCCCCGGUAAACGGCGGCCGUAACUAUAACGGUCCUAAGGUAGCGAAAUUCCUUGUCGGGUAAGUUCCGACCUGCACGAAUGGCGUAAUGAUGGCCAGGCUGUCUCCACCCGAGACUCAGUGAAAUUGAACUCGCUGUGAAGAUGCAGUGUACCCGCGGCAAGACGGAAAGACCCCGUGAACCUUUACUAUAGCUUGACACUGAACACUGGUCCUUGAUGUGUAGGAUAGGUGGGAGGCUUUGAAGUGUGGACGCCAGUCUGCAUGGAGCCAUCCUUGAAAUACCACCCUUUAAUGGCUGGUGUUCUAACGUGGGCCCGUAAUCCGGGUUGCGGACAGUGUCUGGUGGGUAGUUUGACUGGGGCGGUCUCCUCCUAAAGAGUAACGGAGGAGCACGAAGGUCAGCUAAUCCUGGUCGGACAUCAGGAGGUUAGUGCAAUGGCAUAAGCUGGCUUGACUGCGAGCGUGACGGCGCGAGCAGGUGCGAAAGCAGGUCAUAGUGAUCCGGUGGUUCUGAAUGGAAGGGCCAUCGCUCAACGGAUAAAAGGUACUCCGGGGAUAACAGGCUGAUACCGCCCAAGAGUUCAUAUCGACGGCGGUGUUUGGCACCUCGAUGUCGGCUCAUCACAUCCUGGGGCUGAAGUAGGUCCCAAGGGUAUGGCUGUUCGCCAUUUAAAGUGGUACGCGAGCUGGGUUUAGAACGUCGUGAGACAGUUCGGUCCCUAUCUGCCGUGGGCGCUGGAGAAUUGAGGGGGGCUGCUCCUAGUACGAGAGGACCGGAGUGGACGCAUCACUGGUGUUCGGGUUGUCAUGCCAAUGGCAUUGCCCGGUAGCUAAAUGCGGAAGAGAUAAGUGCUGAAAGCAUCUAAGCACGAAACUUGCCCCGAGAUGAGUUCUCCCUGACCCUUUAAGGGUCCUGAAGGAACGUUGAAGACGACGACGUUGAUAGGCCGGGUGUGUAAGCGCAGCGAUGCGUUGAGCUAACCGGUACUAAUGAACCGUGAGGCUUAACCUU